AAAAAGUAUGGAUGAAGUAAAAAAAAGUACAUAAGGAGUGAGAAAGAAAAACUUGGUUACGGGAACCGAAGGUUAGGCCGACUACUUUAGUAGAGCAACACCUAAAAAAGUUGAUUCCUACCCCUUACCCUUUCUUUCAAUGUUGCCAAUUCCCAGAAUACUAAUGUACCCUCGUGUAUACAGUUGUCCAACAACUUUCUUCCUCCGACUUCUUUAGCCACUUCCGCAUCUGUCGUAUUCGGGAAAGCUUGCUUCGUGGCGGAGCAUUUAGCAAUGCCAGCAGCCUGGUGAGGGCUGGCUGUCUGAGGACAGGUUAAGGCAGGGCCUGCU
rnacentral:lncRNA from 1 species